GACGAACGCUGGCGGCGCGCUUAACACAUGCAAGUCGAGCGAGAACCAGGCCUUCGGGCCUGGGGAAAGCGGCGAACGGGUGAGUAACACGUGGGUAACCCACCCUUGGUACCGGGAUAGCCCGGGGAAACCCGGAUUAAUACCGGAUGGCCCAGCAGCUCUUCGGGGCGGGUUGGAAAAGGUAGCUUCGGCCUCCGACCAAGGACGGGCCCGCGGCGGAUUAGCUUGUUGGCGGGGUAACGGCCCACCAAGGCGACGAUCCGUAGCUGGCUGAGAGGACGAUCAGCCACACUGGGACGUGAGACACGGCCCACGAC
rnacentral:rRNA from 1 species